CACCUUCGGGUGUGAAUUAGCGGCGAACGGGUGAGGAACACGUGAGAAAUCUGCCUUCAACACUGGGAUAACUCCGGGAAACCGGGGCUAAUACCGGAUAUGAAAUCUGCGGGCAUCCGCGGAUUUGGAAAGUUUUUCGGUUGAAGAUGAUCUCGCGGCCUAUCAGCUUGUUGGUGAGGUAAUGGCUCACCAAGGCGACGACGGGUAGCCGGCCUGAGAGGGCGACCGGCCACACUGGGACUGAGACACGGCCCAGACUCCUACGGGAGGCAGCAGUGGGGAAUAUUGGGCAAUGGAGGAAACUCUGACCCAGCGACGCCGCGUGCGGGAUGAAGGCCUUCGGGUUGUAAACCGCUUUCAGCAGGGAAGAAGCGAAAGUGACGGUACCUGCAGAAGAAGCACCGGCUAGCUAUGUGCCAGCAGCCGCGGUAAUACAUAGGGUGCAAGCGUUGUCCGGAAUUAUUGGGCGUAAAGAGCUCGUAGGUGGUUCGUCACGUCGGAUGUGAAAAUCUGGGGCUUAACCCCAGACCUGCAUUCGAUACGGGCGAGCUUGAGUAUGGUAGGGGAGUCUGGAAUUCCUGGUGUAGCGGUGGAAUGCGCAGAUAUCAGGAGGAACACCAAUGGCGAAGGCAGGACUCUGGGCCAUUACUGACACUGAGGAGCGAAAGCGU
rnacentral:rRNA from 1 species